rnacentral:piRNA from 1 species
GUAGUGAGGAUAUGAGGGUUGGGAGAAAGU